UUUGGAAAAUUAUCGUUUUAGUCCAUAAAAUUAGGAGACUAAACCUGGUUUUAUUUUAUGCAUUGGGAUCUCUUGUUUGAGUUGCUUUUGAGUAUAUUUUCAUAUUGUUGUAGGUUCUCCUAACGAUCCUCAAUAGGAUUUUCGGGUCUUUCGUCUGACAUUCCUUUUAAUUCUAUAUUUUCCGGGUUCUUAGUUUCUGAUAGCAGGUGAACUUUGUUGAGUGUUCCUGCUUCUUCAGUUUUGGGUCAGUAUGCCUUGCUUAUCUUUCAAGGCUGUUUGAUUCGAUGUCUUAGGCGCUCCACUAUUACCUUGUUUUAAUUAAGUUUGGAUUUUGACAAUGUAAUGAGUAUUAUGGAUUAUUAUUUUUGUUUUAAUUACUGAUGAGGAGUUUUAAACUAUCUUUUGGUUUCAUCAGUUUUGAAUAAUAUAAGAUUUCUGAAGAUUAUGAAA